UACAGAGGGUGCAAGCGUUGUUCGGAAUUAUUGGGCGUAAAGCGCAUGUAGGCGGAAAUACAAGUCAGGGGUGAAAUCCCGAGGCUCAACCUCGGAAUUGCCUUUGAAACUGUAUUUCUUGAGUAUGGCAGAGGAUGGUGGAAUUUCCAGUGUAGAGGUGAAAUUCGUAGAUAUUGGAAAGAACACCGGUGGCGAAGGCGACCAUCUGGGCCAUAACUGACGCUGAGAUGCGAAAGCGUGGGGAGCGAACGGG
rnacentral:rRNA from 1 species